UAAGAAAAUGAUAUGAAUAGGAAUAUGUUUUCCUGUCUUUGAAACAAGCACAAUACAGUUGAAGGAGUGAAAAUGACUACAUGAAGACAUGCAGAUUUGAAGCUCUGAGAACAGAGGCAGCAUGAUGACAGGCGGAUGGGGAUUAUUGUGCGUAGACGCACAGGAACAGACCCCAUUCCCUUUGGGAAUACCGGAUGCGGAGGAUGCGCUUUGGAUUCAUGGAAAAUUCAUGAGAAAGGGAGCCUGCACCAGCCGAGCAACUGUCAUUGAGAUGAAUGGAGAUGCUAGGGUCACCUAAAUAUUACAUUCCCUGGUCACCGGAUGUGUCCCGGAAAGGCGCAGACCGGUUACGACCUCACGUUUUGUGCUAAACCUGAGAUGAUUUGCAUGGAUAAUCCUCUGGUGACUGAUGUCUCAUGCAAGGAAGCGAACUACACUGAAGGACAGCUGUGUGUGCGAAUUUACACAUUGGCUUUUUUGUAUCUCUGACCAACACGUCACUUUGUUUUCUAUGUAAGAUGUAUAUGGACAUUUCAGUGUCACUUGGGGACUUAAAAAUAACUCUCUGAUCACAAAAAAAAAC